UCCCUCCCACACACCGAACCGGUGGAGAAAAAAAAUCCAGAAAAAACAGCGCACAUGCCCCCGCUCCCUCAAUCCCUAGCUAGCCGUCGCUCCUCUCCUCUUCUCCACCCACCGCCACCGCCGCCACCGCACCUCAAUCCCGAGCCAUUUCCUUCUCUCCCUCUAUACCUCCUACACUACCGGCGCUCCUACCCGGACCAUCCACGUCCUUCUGACCCACGCACGCCGCCUGCACUCCACGCCCCCACGCGACGCCACCACACCAAGGGGCACUGAUGGCCGCCGCCGGCGUGGGUCUUGGACUUGUGGGCCACCUCAUGCCGACAUGGUGCCUCCCGGUGACGACCACCACCACCACCUCCUCCUCCUCCUCAAGCCAUCACUGUCGCCUCCCCUCCACCAUGGCUUGCCUGCGUGAGCCCGACACGGGAGGACGACGUCGACCAUGCAGCGGAGCCUAGCGGGCGUGGACCAGCGCAGUGGUCGUCGCCAAGGAUCGAUGGCCGGCGCUGAAGAGGAGGGGGCCCUCUUCCUGCUGCUAUCUUCCCCAUCCCCUACGGGCUGGAUCUAGAGAAAUAUAUAAGUUGUUGCCGACGACUCCGGCCGGGCGGGUGAUGUUAUGCUUGACCACUUCUUGCAUGAGAUUGUUGACUUGUUGUCUUCUAUCUCAAAAAUGUCGCUCAGGUUCUUUCUCCGUGUGAUAAUCCAGCUCGGCUUGACUGGUAUGAAAGUCGCAUGUUAUUCAUGUCGCAUGUUAUUCAGGUUGCACAUCUCACAAUUGUUUAGAAGAAAUGCAUAUCUUUAUCCAUAUCUACAUUUGCUUUUAGUCAUAGCAAAAAGGGACAAGGACGGCGACUUCAACAGCGAUAGGACGGAAGCCAGUAUGCUGGACCAACAAGCCGGUGUUCUUUAUUCCCUUCUUUCAUUAUGUCGGGAGUGGAUAAUCAACUUUCGUUUUUCUUUUCUGUACCUUCUUAUUUAUGCAUCUUAGUUAGGAAGCUAACUUCGUUUCUUUGCAUCAUCAUGGAAUAUUUUUUGUAGGAUUUGCAGACAUUUGCUAAGCUUAAAUACGUGAAUAUGGACAUGUGGUAUUAUUCAUUAGAGUGGGCAGGUGAAUGUAGACAAAUUCGGUGGUUUAUAAUUUUUAUCAGAGGCUAGAAGGAACUAAGGAGCGGCACUUGGAGAAGAGGGGUGCCAAAAUCCAACAAGGAAUUGGGCAUGCAACCACUCCACUGACACAACAAUCUCGUUACGUGACGCCGCGUAGAUGCCCAUUGCGGCGGUGGCCACUGACACCGACGACAAUGUGGCAUUGCAGCAAGCGACCCCGAAGUUGGCGAGACCUGCAGCAGACCUCUGCUGUGCACGCCCAUCCGACCCUACCUGACGGUGUUCCCUGAGCCAUGGUGAUGUAAAGUCUUCUUUCUUUUUUGGCUAAAAACGUUCAUUGUAGAAAACAAAAUUCAUGCCUAAUGAAUGUGUUAGGUGAGAUGUGGAGUAAGAGGAGACACCAGACCAGCUCGCAAUGCAGUUGGCAUGGUUAACAUUACAAUCUUGGAAAAUGAUCACCUCUAUAGACGAAGGAUUUAUGGACGUACGAAGGAAUGUGGCAUAUAUUAUCUAGAAAAUGGAAUGCUUCCUCCUGAUGCCCAAUCAUGGUGUCAUGCUUCAUUUGAUCCCAAACAACUACUUUGUUUAGUAAUUUAUUUACUCUUCAUCACUGCCUGCAAUUUUGAUCAUUGACUAUAGUUUGUAAAUCAACUUGAAUUUAACUUGGUAAGUUUUAAUUGUCUGUUUUUUUCGCUUAUCGGUUAUGUAUGGAGGUUGUCACAUGUUUGAUUGGACUUCAAUUUGGACAUGUAGUCCUACAUUUCGAGGUAUAAGAUUGUUGUUUGUUUCUAUAUUUGAACAUUUCUUCUUAUGGCGUAGAAACUGUAUUCUAUUUUCCCUUUUUUGGGCUAACUUGCCUGUAGAAGCUCAAAGGAAGAAUUAUCGAUUGGCUAAUCUCUUCUUUCAACCUGUUAGAACUUACAUUUUUCCUGCUUAAAGUAUUACAUGAAUACACUAGAUAAUCACUGGAGCCUGCAGAGUUGACGCAGUAUAACAGAUUAGCCUGAUGCUAAAAGAUGUAGUCACGCAGACCUCACCAAUGAGUGAAUGUUGGAUUAGGUCCUAAUCAUCCGGAUAUUGCAGCAACUCUUAUAAAUGUGGCAAUGAUGUACCAGGAUGCGAGCAAUAUGAGUACUGCUCUUAGGUAUCUUCAGGAAGCACUUAAGAAGAAUGAGUGCCUUUUAGGCCCAGGUCAUAUUCAAACAACAGUUCGCUAUCAUGCUCUCGUCAUUGCAUUCAGCUGUAUGGGUGCAUACAAGCUUUCAGUUUAGGUUAGUUCUGACGAAAAAAUGGCGGAAUAACAUUGUGACACAUUUUACUGACUUCAUGAUUUUGGUGGCAGCAUGAAACCAAGGCGCAUGAUAUACUGGUAAAACAGUUAGGGAGUGAUGAUUCACAAACAAAAUAUCCAGAAAAUUAGUUGAAUACAUUUAAGGGGCGAGAACAACAAGUAUGUGCUGAAAAGUUAUUUCACAUGGUUGCUUCACUCUUGGUUCAGGGAUUCUUGCACAUUCCCAAAGUAGCAACUUCAAGUUAUAGGUAGGAGAAAGUUGCACUUAAUGGCUUCAGAUCGUGCACAUUACAUUUUUUCAUAGGGGCAUAUGUUUUUUUGCGAAUAUGCAAAGCUUGCGUAUCAUUCCAUUAUUAGAAAAGAGAAUGAGUAUAGUCGAGGGUACAACACAUGACAUGAACGUGCAAAGGCAUGAACACUGAACCCGGAGCAGAGAGACAAGGGAUGCUCAGCCCAAACAUGGAAAAGACACAACUAAACCCACCAAUCCUAGAACUAGGGAGGCAGACCAAACAAGCAUGACAUCGGACAUCUCCAAAUCCAUCACCGGGGACGCCGCAAGCAAGCAAGAUAGCGCCUUCAAGAAGGAGAACAACGUCGCAAAGCCGCCACCAUACGAUCUGGAGAACCGGACCUAGGGUUUCCCACAAUGCUCGAAGAGAUGUUUAUUUGAUCUCAAGUUUAUUCAAAGUGGGCCACGAGAACUUUAUGAAUCUGCUUGGCUAUUGGUGAAGAACAAAAUCCUUUCAUCAGAGGUACGAUGUUUGAAUAAGGUCAAAAUGGGGCUCUCUUCGAGCAUCUCCAUGGUAAGUGUGUACUGAUUCUGUUAAUUUUCUUACUGUCAACAGAAUGGUUCCUAUAACGUGCAUCCAGUUCAACAAUUUUAGCAUGUGUUGGUAGCCAACAAUUACUAAUAAUCAGUAUUUGAUAAUGCUUUGGAUUAUUCUGCAGUUCUUUUUUUACCGCAGUUAUGUUGCAGUCAAAGAUACUGAGAACAUGGACUGGAUGACCCAACUUCAAAUGGCGAUGGGGAUAGCUUACUGUCGAGAGAACAUGCUUAAGCUGAAUCUACCUGCUAGGCCAAGGAACCUCAUCUCAACAGUUAUGUUGCAACGGUGUCAGAUCUUGAUGUCUGGAAUGGCACCAAGGGAUCUGAUUCUGUCACUGAUGAUUGCAUCAUGCUAUAUUUCAUUGUGCAUCAGUAUGGCAUCAUGCUUAAGUUGAAUCUACAUACUAUAGCUUACUGACGAAGAUAAUGGCUGCAUCUUUUUUAGUUGGUCUCGUCGCAUCUAAUAGAAAACAUACAACUUGAUACAUUCUGUCGGAUGCAUAUCUUUUUUUCCUGGAAGUCGAACACUCAGAGCAAUGAUGGUAAACCAGGGGGCAUUUAUUUUUUUAGUUACAGAUUUGCUCAGCAGUCUUGGUGACGUAUGAUAUUUCCUUGGGGGCAAAUUCAGAUAUUUUGCCUCUUUUUCAGAUAGCUAAAGAUAGUUUUGCUGGCCCCUUGUUUCUUGAAGAUAAUCUCUUUUGCGCUGUGGAAUAUUUGGAAAUAGAUGAAUGCUUGGAUUUUUUAAGGGAAGCAAGCAUCUUUAUCCGGAUGGCUCUGGUCACAUAGAGUUAAAACCAAAGUCCACUCUAAGUGCUUGGAUCUCCUCUACGUCUUGAGCUUUUGAUCCUUAGACUUUAAUUUUUCUUUUUCUUUUAGGGGUAUCCUCUACCUCUAUGUAAUCAUGUAGCUUUGUACAUUACUCCCCUUUUUCCUCGCUCUAUUAAUGAAAAUUACACAGUAGGGGGUUCCCCUACUGUUUGCCCA